UCUCCGUAGGUGAACCUGCGGAGGGAUCAUUACAGAGUUCGUGCCCCUCGCGGGUAGAUCUCCCACCCUGUGUUAUCGUACCUCUUGUUGCUUUGGCAGGCCGCCGCGAGGCCUCCGGCUCACGCUGGAGCGCGCCUGCCAGAGGACCCAAACCCUGAAAUUUAGUGUCGUCUGAGUACUAUAUACAAUAGUUAAAACUUUCAACAACGGAUCUCUUGGUUCUGGCAUCGAUGAAGAACGCAGC
rnacentral:misc_RNA from 1 species